UCCAAACCUCGCAAAGCUGUUUAUUUUUAAAACAAAAUUUCUUUUUCCUUUCUGUUUGUUUCUUUUCUUUUUUCUUGCUGUUGGGAAGGGGGGGCUUUUGUUCUGAGGAAUGAGUCUGAGAUGCUGACACAGAAGUCCUUUUCAGGUACUACUGAGGCAGCAAUCGGAACCAGGGAAAGAGGCUGGAUUCAUGCCAGCAGAAUCAAAGGCCUUGUGAAGGAACCUGAGGAAUGGACUAUCACAUCUAAACCGGGUGAUACCAAAUUGACUUUCAAAAGGGAACUCGGUGAUAAUGGUUUGGGAAGACCUGUUGUUGAAAAACACAUUCACUCUGCUGUGAAAAUUUAGAAAGUUUAAUAAAUGACAAUAGGAGACAAGGACCAUAGAGCAAAGACUGUUAUGGCUGGGUGCAUCUUGGCACUCAGCCAAGACCACACUGUUUUCUUGGGGGAUAUCCCUUAAAUACCUUUUCUUUUACAUCAGCCUGUUGCAUAUUCAUAGACCCUUUAUGUAUAGUAAACUAUUUUCCCAAAUUAGUUAACAUAUUGCAAGAACUGUUUGCUGUGACUCCUCCUUGGGUCUGCUUUUUUAGAGCAUGCAUAUUCCUUGGUUGUGGUUUUAGUCCUUUUUAUUAUCAUCUUCAGUUUUGUGUCUUGGUCCACGCUGUCUUCAGAUGAUGGGUGCUGUUAGUUGGCAAAUCUAUAUCUUUAUAGCAAUAUUAUUUUUAACACCAGACAUAUAAAAUCCAUUUUAAUAUUUGCGACAAUCCAGUAUUAUAAUAUGUAUCUAUAACAGUUAUAAAGAUAUAGUUUUUAUUUCUGUUGUUAAUUAAGCUUGGACAUAGUAGUGAAAUAGCUGCUAUAAGUAUGCUUGUGUUAAAAUGCCUGCUUGGAUGGGAUAACAUCCAAUGAACGUAGGAUGAGGACACCUGCUACAGAUUUGCCAACUAUCAGCACUCACUGUCUUGAGAGGAAUGACGGAUUUGUCUUUACAAACAAGCUCUGGGUGGGCUGGUAGAUAAAACUAGCACUGGGAGAUACAAGAAACAAUGGGGAGGAUUCCACUGAUUGAUGAAUGGAAAAAGAGAUUUGCCUUUACAAACUGUAGUUUGCUGAUAAAUGAAAUUGGAUAUUGAAAGAUGAAAGAAACAAUGGGGAAAACCCCUAAAUUCCAUAAGAGCCUCCCAUCCCCACCAUCUUGAUGGACUGUGAAUGGGUGGGUCACUCCCUGCAGCUGCCCAGUGCACAGCCGAGCCCUCAGGCUGCAGGCUGGGUGUUCCAUAAGGGAAGGAGGCAAACCCUGCAGGCAGUGUUCGAUUGUCUUCCCAAACUGACUCAGUCCCAGUGGGCAGCCUGUGGAGACCCAGGCCAUCAAGGAUUCCCCAGAACAUCCCAUGAGUCAUAGGAAUACAUAAUUCCACUGAAAUUCCCGGCCCUGAGGGAGGUAGUGAACAUUCCUGCCUGAAUCUGACCAUAUAUAAUCUGGGCUCUUAGGGGACUUGGGACACCAGCAGCACUUGAUGGACUCAGGGGAGGACCAGACCUUCCACAGGAGGAACAGACCUUCCCCAGGACCACUGCUUUCAGCAAGACUGCAACCAUCACUUCAACAGGACUUCAUCCACCACCCUGACUGACAGGAUGCCAGGUUGUACUCUGCCUUUGUGGAUUUAAGCCAGUUUUUCUGUAUCAUUGCAUUUAUUGUAAUCUUUCUAUUAAAUCAUAAUUCUGACCUGAAAUCUCUCUCAAGUUAUUUGUGCAGUGUUCAUUUCUCCCACUGGCUGACUUUCAAACCAGCACAUCCAUUGACUGAGUUUUCCAAUAAAUAAUAUUUUCUGAGCA